CUUUUUGUAAUCUUUUAAAAAAUCUUCUCCUCUGAAAUUACAGUGUCAAAUUUAAAGGGAAAUUCCGCGAUUUUUUACUUAUCAUCUAAUUAUGUUCAUCUUAACAUAAAAAACACAUUUGCAAAGUUUUAAAUUUAUAUUCCUUCUAAUAACAGAGAAAAUCAAGUAUUUGUAACUUUUUUGGUUGAAUUCUCGAGUGGGUCGUGACGUAUUAGCCCGAUUUAUUGAAUUCUGGGAAAAAAUAAAAUCUGUUUAACUCUUAUAUCUUAUCGACAAUAUACGUAAUUAAAAGCGCACAGCUGACGAAUGGUCGUAGUCAUUAACCACAAUAUAAGAAUGAACGAAAAUGAAUAUGCAUAUACCGUUUUGUAUUGAUGAAUUAAACUCCUAUUAAAUUAUCUCUAGUAAAUGUUUUCGAAUAAAUUUCAUUAAUUAUUGUUGAGAUUUUUUUCAUAAAAUAUUUAUUGAACAUUUUUACUGAUAUUAAACUGAAAAUAUUUCAGUUCUAUUUACCGUUAUUGUUUUGAUAAUCAUUUCAAUGCAACUAAAGUGUGAGCAGAGUGUGUAUAUUAUUUUGUAAAGGUCACUGUAUAUUUCUCGGCUUGAGGUCAAUUUGUUUACCUUGUAGCUAUUUAGCCGCAGGUGUGAGUUCAAGCGAACACAGGUAUAAAUGUUGUUAUUUGGAAAGGAUAAACAGAAAGGAUUAGAUUUAUAGUAUGCUGUCACGAUUUUAAUACACUAAGAUUUAAUACACGAUGAGAAUAAAGAUACAAUAAUUAAAUUGUGUAAAUUAAUUGAAAAUAAAAUUCAGAUUCGUAAUUCGAAAGUGUAUAAAAAUAAAAUGAAACAAUUUUUGAUUACUUUCUUAGCGGCAAUUGGCGUAAAUAAAGUAAAAAAUAGUAGUUUUAAUUUUUAAUGCAAUAUUACCCAAUUUGCUAUACCAUUGCAAAUCUGUUUGAUAUCAUUGACUUUACCGGAUUUUUUUUAACUUGUAUUCAAAUCUGGCUGUGUUUAAAUGCUAAUAAAACUAAAGCAAUUUUAAAGUUUUUAAUUGAAAAAAAAAAUACUUCAUACAAAAUGCAUGAUUUUUUUUUCUUUUUAACAUUUUAUUCUUACAUAAUUAAAUUCAUUUGACAAUCAUUUACACGAACUUUUUAUGAAAAGAAUACCAAUUAUCUCAACUAAGGCAUUAUUUUUUUUGAGGAUUUUUUUUUUUAAAAUUCUAUGAUAAUAUUUGUGCAAUGUUGAACAUGAUAGCCGUCAUUAAUCCAAAUAAGUAAUACAGUAGUUGUAAUAAAACUUAUAUCUUAGUCAUGCAUAACUGAUAUUGACGAAUUUAGAAUAGUUCGUCCAUACAUCGUUGUUCUUGAAACAAUCAUUAUUAGUAUACAUACAUGUAAGUUUCCUGACGUAUAAGCGCCUUUGAGGAUGAGCUCCAGAGAAAGCAGACUAGUAGCGUUUCGUUCGUUUGUUUGUUGGGAAAGGAGAGGAAAUGCAACCACUUGUACAGAUAAACGACAGAAUUACCAUAAAAGCAUUUAUAGUCAAUACAAAUCAGAAAGAGUUCCCAUCGUUGGACAGGGAAUAUGAAGGCUUCCAAAAAUGAACAAGUGACAUGUCUGAACAGUUAGAAAACGGACCAUCGACAUCGACCGCUUGUUCUUGAUAUUUGAAACUGCAUGCAUAUAUACGUAUACGUGUAUGAUUGAAUGAUGAGUUCUUCGACUGAAAAAACUAAAUUCCUUCAUGAGUAUAUCUUGCCACAUUUUAUAUUGGAUUGUAAGGUGAUUACUCAAAAUGUAAUUGAAAAUCUUGUUUGUGAGAUGUAGAUUCAUUUCAAUACAGAAAUUUUCGUCUAUAAUUAAGUUCCACAAGUGUAUAACACGGAGAAGCUCUGAGGGUCCAUUACUCCCAUUUUGUUUGGGUGUGAACCAUCGAUGUUUACAGCAAUAUCAAAGAAUAAGAUGAUGAUGGUAGAAAGAACUAUGGGCGUUCCUUGGCAAAUAUUACAUGCAUAUCGGACCAUGAGUUGUCAAUCUGUAUCAAAAGAUUUCCAAUACAACCAUAUUAUUGAGAAGCAAGGUUUACAUGCUAUAUGCUAUACUCUCGUACUAGUAUUACAGGGUUCUUGUCUUGUGGCGUUCACCUUAGACCACACAUCUUUUUAACGAUGUUAAAAAAACGACAGAACAAUUAAUGUCAUAUUUCCAUAUUUUUUUUAAAUGUAACUGAAAGUCUUUUAUCUGACAAGAAACCCCUAUUUAGCGGACAAGUAAUUUAUUCUUUUUUCUGUUAUUGAAUACCAAGAAAAAUAAAUCCCGAAAUUAAUUUGAAACUUUGAACUCAAAAGUUUCCAGCAAAAUAUUCACAUCCCUUGGGAUAAUGUUCGUCCAGUGGCAUAUAUUACAAUUGUGAUGACGAAUUCCUUCCUUUGUUCGAGAACAAUCUUAUGAAUAUAAAUCUGUGAUUUUACUAUUUCCCGUGACAACAUCAAUGAACCAAAGCAAAAGUUAUACAUCGACCUGUAUUUAAAUCAAAUUGGUUCUCUUCUUCUUCUGGUAUACAAUAGUCUAUCGACAUUCAAUGAUUAUCUGUUGGCAUACGUGGACUAGUCUAUUUACAAAACUUUUACCCAAUUUAUUCAAAAUAUAUUUUUUUCUUUAUGUUAAUGUAUACAUGUAUAUAUUUUAAAUUGCGCUUUAGUUCCAUAACUUUCACCCAGUCGUAUAAACGAAUCAUCGCAAUGCGUACAUUUUUAAAUCAAUAUUUCUGUCCAAUCUGUCCUUCACCAUUGACAAUGAGUAUAUAUUACAUUUUCCCAAAUUCACCCUUGGAAAAAAUAUUUAAAUAGAUUUUAAUUCCAUCAAAUCUUAUUUUUUUGGUAUUAUUUUUAUUUUUUAUGAGAAAUUUCUUUACCAGAAAUGUUAUUUAUAAACAAAUGAGUUUAGUAAUGACAGUAAGACAGAGUUGUAUAUUAUACAUCUGAUAGUUCAAAAUGGCAUGCAGAAUGAACGAUGCUGAACUUGCAAGCCCGACAGGAAUCGCUUGAAUACCUGGACGUGUCACCUCACAACCCUCCCAAUACCUGAAAGUAAACCUGUAGCCAUGCUGGUGAUCAGAUGAGGAAGAUUAAAAGUUAUUUGAAAAAAGUUUAUUACUUAAAGAAUUAUGAACAAAUUAGAUUUUCGAAAACAAUUUUCACCACUUAUUUAUGAUUUCACUUUGACUUUUUACCUAAUUCCAAUAUCAAAGUUUAAAACAAAAGACCGUGGUAAUUUAAAAAAAAAUAAGAAUUUUCCGUAUCAGUUAGUAAGUCGGAUAAAACAACCGUACGUUGCCAAGUAUCGACAUGCAAUUAGACACAUCGGUUACAGUUUUGUUCCUUUUGGGUUUAUAAAUAUCGAUUUUAUUAACGGAACGAAGACAAAAUGGCUGAACGGAUGGAAAUGAUUCUCUAAAUUUAAAAUCGAUGGUGAUCGCUUAUAUAGCGGAAAAAAUAAUAUCUAUGAAUUUGAGCAUUUUUCGAAUGAACAUAAUAUCAAUUUUUGAUUUUUUUGCGAAGUUUCCCUUUAACCAAACUUAGCCACAAUCGUUAUUAGGGUAUCUAGUUUAAAAAAUGUGCGCAUUGACCCAGCCAACCAAUCAAGAGAAAUAUAUAAUAGAACACAGGGGUAAAACGUAGAUUUUGGCUUAUAACUCUGAAACCAAAGCAUUUAGAGCAAAUCUAACAAGGGUUAAUUUGUUUAUAAAGUUAGUAUCUCUCUGCCCUGAAAUCUUCAGAUAAAUCGGACAACUGGUUGUUGGGUUGCUGCCCCCCAAUUUAUAAUAUUUAAAGAAAUUUUGCGGUUUUUGGUUAUUAUCUUCAAUACUGUUAAAGAUAGAGAUAAACUGUAAACAGCAAUAAUGUUCAGCAAAGUAAGAUCUAAUAAUAAGUCAACAUGACCACAAUUGUCAGUCGACCCCUUAAGGAGUUAUUGCCCUUGAUAGUCAAUUUUAAACAAUUUUCAUUAAUUUGGUAAAUUUUUGUAAAUUUUUACAAAAUAUUUUCCUCUGUAUCUAAAGGGCCAAGUCUAUAUAGAUAGAGAAUUGUAAGAAGCAAGAAUGUUCAGUAAAGUCAGAUCUACAAACACAUCACAUCACCAAAAACCAUGAAUCCAUCUGUGUCCUUUGUUUAAUAUACACAUAGACCAAGGUAAGCAACAUAGGCUCUAAAGAGCCUCUAGUUUUAAAUAACUGAAGACAAAUUUGCUUUGAAAUCUAUAAGUUGUCAAAAUUACUGUUUCAUAUUUUCUAUUUAGAUGACAAC
rnacentral:lncRNA from 1 species